rnacentral:rRNA from 1 species
UGGGGAAUAUUGCACAAUGGGCGCAAGCCUGAUGCAGCCAUGCCGCGUGUGUGAAGAAGGCCUUCGGGUUGUAAAGCACUUUCAGCGAGGAGGAAGGGUGGUGUGUUAAUAGCACAUCACAUUGACGUUACUCGCAGAAGAAGCACCGGCUAACUCCGUGCCAGCAGCCGCGGUAAUACGGAGGGUGCAAGCGGUAAUCGGAAUUACUGGGCGUAAAGCGCACGCAGGCGGUUUGUUAAGUCAGAUGUGAAAUCCCCGCGCUUAACGUGGGAACUGCAUUUGAAACUGGCAAGCUAGAGUCUUGUAGAGGGGGGUAGAAUUCCAGGUGUAGCGGUGAAAUGCGUAGAGAUCUGGAGGAAUACCGGUGGCGAAGGCGGCCCCCUGGACAAAGACUGACGCUCAGGUGCGAAAGCGUGGGGAGCAAACA